rnacentral:ribozyme from 1 species
GAGAAAAAAAGCAACAACAGCUCACAUUUUACUUUUUUGCAACUAUUUUUUUUUUCUUCUACCUCUCUAUCUUU